AGGUACAGACAUGCAGAUAUGCAGGCACACAAAGAUACACUAACACACUGCUGCACACACAUCUAGAUACACAGAUACACACUAACAUACAUACAGAUACAUAGGCACACGAAUACACACAAUGACACACAUACAGACACACACAGUAUCAUACACAUAAUAAGACACAUACAGAUACACAGGCAUACACAAUGACACUCAUACAGAUACAAACACGGACACACAUACAGAUGCUCAGACACACAAGGGCACACGCUUACACACAUGCAGGCUAAGGGUGCUCACUCACAC